rnacentral:rRNA from 1 species
GAUGAACGCUGGCGGCGUGCCUAAUACAUGCAAGUCGAGCGAACAGACGAGGAGCUUGCUCCUUUGACGUUAGCGGCGGACGGGUGAGUAACACGUGGGUAACCUACCUAUAAGACUGGGAUAACUUCGGGAAACCGGAGCUAAUACCGGAUAAUAUUUCGAACCGCAUGGUUCGAUAGUGAAAGAUGGCUUUGCUAUCACUUAUAGAUGGACCUGCGCCGUAUUAGCUAGUUGGUAAGGUAACGGCUUACCAAGGCAACGAUACGUAGCCGACCUGAGAGGGUGAUCGGCCACACUGGAACUGAGACACGGUCCAGACUCCUACGGGAGGCAGCAGUAGGGAAUCUUCCGCAAUGGGCGAAAGCCUGACGGAGCAACGCCGCGUGAGUGAUGAAGGUCUUCGGAUCGUAAAACUCUGUUAUUAGGGAAGAACAAACGUGUAAGUAACUGUGCACGUCUUGACGGUACCUAAUCAGAAAGCCACGGCUAACUACGUGCCAGCAGCCGCGGUAAUACGUAGGUGGCAAGCGUUAUCCGGAAUUAUUGGGCGUAAAGCGCGCGUAGGCGGUUUUUUAAGUCUGAUGUGAAAGCCCACGGCUCAACCGUGGAGGGUCAUUGGAAACUGGAAAACUUGAGUGCAGAAGAGGAAAGUGGAAUUCCAUGUGUAGCGGUGAAAUGCGCAGAGAUAUGGAGGAACACCAGUGGCGAAGGCGACUUUCUGGUCUGUAACUGACGCUGAUGUGCGAAAGCGUGGGGAUCAAACAGGAUUAGAUACCCUGGUAGUCCACGCCGUAAACGAUGAGUGCUAAGUGUUAGGGGGUUUCCGCCCCUUAGUGCUGCAGCUAACGCAUUAAGCACUCCGCCUGGGGAGUACGACCGCAAGGUUGAAACUCAAAGGAAUUGACGGGGACCCGCACAAGCGGUGGAGCAUGCGGUUUAAUUCGAAGCAACGCGAAGAACCUUACCAAAUCUUGACAUCCUUUGACCCUUCUAGAGAUAGAAGUUUCCCCUUCGGGGGACAAAGUGACAGGUGGUGCAUGGUUGUCGUCAGCUCGUGUCGUGAGAUGUUGGGUUAAGUCCCGCAACGAGCGCAACCCUUAAGCUUAGUUGCCAUCAUUAAGUUGGGCACUCUAAGUUGACUGCCGGUGACAAACCGGAGGAAGGUGGGGAUGACGUCAAAUCAUCAUGCCCCUUAUGAUUUGGGCUACACACGUGCUACAAUGGACAAUACAAAGGGCAGCGAAACCGCGAGGUCAAGCAAAUCCCAUAAAGUUGUUCUCAGUUCGGAUUGUAGUCUGCAACUCGACUACAUGAAGCUGGAAUCGCUAGUAAUCGUAGAUCAGCAUGCUACGGUGAAUACGUUCCCGGGUCU